rnacentral:rRNA from 1 species
GACGAACGCUGGCGGCGUGCUUAACACAUGCAAGUCGAACGAUGAAGCCGGAGCUUGCUCUGGUGAAUUAGUGGCGAACGGGUGAGUAACACGUGAGUAACCUGCCCUUGACUCUGGGAUAACUGCUAGAAAUGGUAGCUAAUACCGGAUACGACCCUCGGAGGCAUCUCCAGGGGGUGGAAAGAAUUUCGGUCAUGGAUGGACUCGCGGCCUCUCAGCUAGUUGGUGAGGUAAAGGCUCACCAAGGCGACGACGGGUAGCCGGCAUGAGCGGGUGAGAGGCCACAAUGGGACUGAGACACGGACCAGACUGCGACGGGAGGGAGCAGUGGGGAAGAUUGCACAAUGGGCGCAAGCCUGAUGCAGCAACGCCGCGUGAGGGAUGACGGCCUUCGAGUUGUAAACCUCUUUGAGCAGGGAAGAAGCGAAAGUGACGGUACCUGCAGAAAAAGCACCGGCUAACUACGUGCCAGCCGACGCUGUAA